GUAGAGCUUAAGAUGCUGAUUGGAGCAAAUCCCUUAUUUCGCGAUAAGCUUGCAUUCCCAGCUUUUAAAAGUUCACAACUAAGGAAUUUAAUAAACCAGAUGUGACUUUUACUUAUUCUAUGGUCGUUUUGAGUGUUAAUAAGGUCCUUAGUUGUGAACUUUUAAAAGUUGGGAAUGCAAGCUGGGAAUGUGAUUGAGUGUGUAUGCGUUCAUCUCCACUAUUUUCCCAUAUUUGAUUCACAGAUUUCAAAUAACUGCUUGAGCUUCCUUGGUGUAUUAGUUAUCCCUUGUGUUGUUGGAUACCGGUUAUAUCUGUUUCUAUGCUAUUUUGGAGUCGAUAUGUUCAUCGUAAAUUCAUUCCACAUGAGAUAUGAUAUUAUUGUGAAUUUUGGUAACUUAUUGCAUUGUAUGCUUAGUUGCAUGAUGAUGUGUUAACAGGAAGAAUGCAUAGAUCUGCAACGGAGGAUAAAAGAUGGUAUUAUCAAAAGACCUAGUGUUGUUACUGUUCUUAGAACUACAAGGAAAUGAAUGAAUCCAAUGGAAUAAAAUGGUACUCAAGUUAUUGGUGAAA